rfam:Myotis lucifugus cont2.18788, whole genome shotgun sequence.
GGCGGUUCUCAGGUGAUGCACCCUGGAGUCAGGCUCCCUCUUCUCUGGUUCCAGUUGUGUCACCUGAGAACCGCA